rnacentral:rRNA from 1 species
ACGAACGCUGGCGGCGUGCUUAACACAUGCAAGUCGAACGGUGAUCCAGGGGCUUGCUCCUGGUGAUCAGUGGCGAACGGGUGAGUAACACGUGAGUAACCUGCCCCUGACUCUGGGAUAACUGCUGGAAACGGUGGCUAAUACCGGAUAUGAAGCCCUCAUGCAUGUGGGGGUUUGGAAAGAUUUUUUGGUCAGGGAUGGGCUCGCGGCCUAUCAGCUUGUUGGUGGGGUGAUGGCUCACCAAGGCGACGACGGGUAGCCGGCCUGAGAGGGCGACCGGCCACACUGGGACUGAGACACGGCCCAGACUCCUACGGGAGGCAGCAGUGGGGAAUAUUGCACAAUGGGCGCAAGCCUGAUGCAGCGACGCCGCGUGAGGGAUGAAGGCCUUCGGGUUGUAAACCUCUUUCAGCAGGGAAGAAGCGCAAGUGACGGUACCUGCAGAAGAAGCGCCGGCUAACUACGU